GGGGUGCCAAAACUGAACUUCUAAUUCAGAUUUAAGCGAAUCUUUCGUUUGCUCCCUUAAUUUAUA
rnacentral:tRNA from 1 species